CGUCUCAGUUCGGAUUGUAGUCUGCAACUCGACUACAUGAAGUCGGAAUUGCUAGUAAUCGCAGAUCAGCAUGCUGCGGUGAAUACGUUCCCGGGCCUUGUACACACCGCCCGUCACACCAUGAGAGUUGGGGAUACCCGAAGCCUGUGAGCUAACUUUUAGAGGCAGCAGUCGAAGGUAGAAUCAAUGAUUGGGGUGAAGUCGUAACAAGGUAAC
rnacentral:rRNA from 1 species